AGCGAACGCUGGCGGCAGGCUUAACACAUGCAAGUCGAACGGGCGUAGCAAUACGUCAGUGGCAGACGGGUGAGUAACGCGUGGGAACGUACCUUUUGGUUCGGAACAACCCAGGGAAACUUGGGCUAAUACCGGAUAAGCCCUUACGGGGAAAGGAUUUAUCGCCGAAGAUCGGCCCGCGUCUGAUUAGCUAGUUGGUGUGGUAACGGCGCACCAAGGCGACGAUCAGUAGCUGGUCUGAGAGGANGAUCAGCCACC
rnacentral:rRNA from 1 species